rnacentral:rRNA from 1 species
AUGCCCAAACUCCCUAGCGUCACAAACCUAACCUUAAAAUAUUACUCAAAAAAUAGCCACUGCUUUGAAGCAUGUGUGACCACUCUCCUGGCUCGAUGCAGCAACCUCCGGCAUCUCCGCCUAGACAACUUUAUCCACCAGUAUGGUCCUCCUUGUGAUGUGGGGUGUAGCACCUGCGACCUCCGUGGGAGCUGGAAAGACAAUGUGAUCUCGUUGGACCACCUCCAAGAGGUGGAGUUCAGUGGCUUCUCUGGGCAGGAGUACUGCCUCGACAUGGUGCAACUGCUGUUCACUAGCGCGCCCACAUUGGAGAGGAUGCUCUUGACCACACAUGUACCUAUAGAAGGUUGUUCACCUCCACCAACAAUUGCCAUGGAAUUGUUAGAGUUGAGGCUGCCACGUGGGAUGGGGAAGUGGACGGCUCACCCAUACGCUAACAUGACAAUGCUCGAGUGGAUACCCGCUUCAUCGACGAUGCUCGCCGGAGCAGUAGAUGCAUGA